rnacentral:rRNA from 1 species
UACGGAGGGUGCGAGCGUUGUCCGGAAUCACUGGGCGUAAAGGGCGCGUAGGUGGUUAUUUAAGUGAGAGGUGAAAUCCCCGGGCUUAACCUGGGAACUGCCUCUUAUACUGGAUAGCUGGAGUGAAGUAGAGGGUAGUGGAAUUUCCGGUGUAGCGGUGAAAUGCGUAGAUAUCGGAAGGAACACCAGUGGCGAAGGCGGCUACCUGGACUUACACUGACACUGAGGCGCGAGAGCGUGGGGAGCAAACAGG